rnacentral:misc_RNA from 1 species
GCCUCCGAGUGCCUGUGAGCUGUAGAACUUGCGUCUGCAGUAGUUGCAAGAGAAAACUCUGGGGAUGGUUGCAGCUGGAGUAGGGGCAGCUACUUUACUGCUAGUCUCACCUGUGCCUUUCAACUCAAUGUCAUUGGAGUUAAAAGUAAGUGAUAGGUCAAGGGAAACAGGCAUUGGACCAUGUUGAAGCUUAGCAAGAUCUGUGAGAGAGGAAGACGGGGUGCUGCUGUCCUUGGAAGGAUCAGGGGAUGGUUCUUGCAAAGAUACAUUGGAUGCCACUUGGCUGUUGAUUUCAGACUCAUUUUCAGAUUCUAAUUUGUUGUUCUGCAAUGUCAUGAUCAUGAAAAGCAAAAAUACUUUGGUCUAUCUGAAUCAGAGAAAAAUCGAACAAGCUGCUGAAGCUGAUUGACUAAUGCUUCACCUGCAUGCGCAGAAGCCCAAGGGAUGAAAUUAUUUGCUUUGGAGUGGGAAUGUAGCUCAAAUAGAGAAGGACAAGGUAUAUCAUGCAACAAGAAUAACAUAUACUAGCAUAAGCAUACAAAUUUUAGACAAAUACAUAUAGCUAUAAUCCAACUUCCAUCCAUGAAACAAUGUAGAUCAUGACGACGUAAAUGACCAGAGAAACAUUUCUCUAGGUCUCGGGAUAUUCAUGUCAAAGUGCAAACCUCAUGAUCAUGCCCACAUUCAGGGCCUCAGCAAAGAAGAAGGAUGCACCAAAUUCUGCCAAUCGACAAUCAGUAACAGAAGUAAAUGAUUACAAUCAUCUAAUUCAAGACAUAUGCCAUAUCACAGCACACCAACUGGAUGAAAUUCCAUGCAGUCAUCUAAUAGCUUUCAAAGUCAUGCAAAACACUAAGAUCACUGUUACCUUGGUUGGACGCAAGGGCUUUUUAUAUUUUUAGUAAACUACUUGAGCACUAUUUGAUUCCCUAACUUAGCCCCUGAGAAAUUCAGAAAGAAAUAACCUUUCUUUGUUCUUAGCCAUGAAAGUAUUUUAAACUCAAAUUCCAUUUAAGGCAUGCAUGAAAAAUCAAAUUUUAUAACCUUCAACCCUCAUGUGAAAAGUUAUAUAAUUUGCUUAUUAUUGACUGUGCAUUAAAUUCAAGAAUAGACUCGAUAUAAUACAUAAAUACUUGGGUUCUAUGGUAAUGAAUGACCUUAAAAAUGAUUUUCAAAUGGCUAUUAAAACCAUUAAAGUAUAUAUAUUGCAAUCUGAUCAUUUUGCCAAAACCUGUGUAAGCAAUCAAAGAAUGAACACAGGCUCAUCAUUUAUCUUGCAGGAAAUGGAAAAGCUACUGGUUCACAAAGAUGACCUUUAAAUCCUAACUAAAACUUGGAGCAAAGAAACCUCAAACCAGCUGCAUCUGUGAUUCAAUAACAAGUAAAAGUUACCAGUAGACUAAAAAAGGAGCCAUAUAUCUCUAUGCUACCAGUAAUAAAUUGGGGAGUGCAAUGUUGAAGUAAGGAACAAAAAAUAAAGGAUUCUGUGAAAGAACUAGUAAGUUACUCAAACACUAUGCUUCACUGUUCUUUCAAUGUGAGAUUAGGCAUUACAAUCACCUUGAGAACUUCCUUAGCUACCAUAGAGCCUUUUGAGUUCUGCAUAUUUCAAUAUGCCAAAUCAUUUGGACAUGUAAUAUAGCCUCUUAGAUAAAAUGCCUACAAUCAUUCCAAGGAAAUUCUAUGGAACAUGCUAAUACAAAGUUACAUGCACUACCUUCUCUUUCCUUCCCAAUUCAUUAUCAUUUUAUUUUGUUGUUUUAUGUUUAUCAUUUGUAUCCUAAUCCCAGUAAUUCUCUCAUACAAAUUAAAACUGAUUAUCUAGCAUGCAAAUAUUAUACUUGAUCCAUUUUUUUUAUGGAUCAACAACACCAUUCAAAGCACCACAAACCUUCUUAGGUUAUCCUUGGAAGACUUGAACAUAACCUGCAAUAUAAAAAUAGAGACCACUCCAUUAAGUUUUAAACCUUCAUAAUCUUUAAGACAUUCCUCAUAGCAUACUUUCUGUAAAUACAUUUGCUAAUCAAUUGGUUCAGCAUUGGUAGUUUCUCCAAAAAGAAUAAAUUGGUGACAUUUAUAACCCCAAUUCUACAGAUCAGUGUGUAAACAGAGUGAAUGAAAUGGGUAGAGGGUGCAUAACAAGUUCAAAGCAUGGAAAAAAAUAAUUCUCAAUGAUGUACAGCAGCUUUAAUAAAGUUAAUGGGCUGUAUUGAAAUUUAUCUCAAAUCAAGAAAUCUGGCUAGUGGCAUCAGUCUACUUAAACAACAUAGUUUUUAUUUGCAAGUUAGAAACUCACCAUAAGCUACCUAGAGUAGGGAAAAGAAAAGGAAAAUAAAGUGAAAUCCAGCAACCAACAAAUAUUAAGCAACAAAAGUUCUAAAAGAGCAGAGUGCCUAGCAUCAUGUUAGUCACUGGAAUUCAUAUAUUCUUCUUUGGACUGGAAUUCAAAUAUUCUUCUUUGGAGUUUCAAAUAGCUUCUUUUCAACUAGUUUGAGGGAGUAAUAAGAAGAGAAUGUAUUGAUUUACAACAAUUUGAUUACAUGUUUUCUUACUUGAAUAUAUUGAGUAUCGAAAAAAUCAUAUAUAUAUAUACAUAUAUAUCCCCACUCUUAGAGAGACAAACGAACUGAAUUUGGAUAGAAAUUAAAACUUAAGUUUGUUCCCAUAUGUCUUCUUUUUCCAAUCCAAUCAUAGUGGAAAACAGAGUAACCAGUGGAGGGCUACUGACUUUAGCUUGCUAAGCACAUGCAAGAUCCAGAACUAAUUCUUAUGGGCACCCAACUUAUAAUCAGCAAUGCAAUCAGAUUUAUAUACUUGAAAACUUCUAUUUUCACCAUAGAGUUCUAUGCAUGAACAACUUUUGCCAGAGCAACAGCUAAAAGAAGCUCUCUACUUACCCACAAAUAGCCAGUAAUAUGUAGAAUGUAUCCAUACUAGAACACUUAUGUUUCACUACUAAAUUCUUCUCCAACCACUAUCAAUUGAAGGUAACCAGAUAAAUUUUCCGUGGAGCUAAAAACCCUGAAAUUUUACUUAUAGUUGAUCUCAUAUGACAAAGGAAAAUAGCAGAAAAUCUCCACAAUUUCAUAUCAUGAAUGUUCUUUCAAAACAGAGGCCUUAUCCAUCAGUAAUCAGCAGUAUAAUGCUUCCAAUAGACCUAGAUUUUUGACUUUGCUUUCAAAAACAAGAAAAAAAAAAAAAAACCGAAAUUGGAUAGAGAUGUAUAUAUGCCACUCCCCUCGCCCUAGCACUCAUUGUAACAACCAAACUUUGGGGCUGUUACCGGCGCUAGGGAACAAGUCAGCUGAAGGCUGUCGGAACACAUAACAAGCCUAAAACUUGUAAAAACAUCACUUUAUUCCAUUUAAACUAAAAUUUAAAGCAACUCAGUAACAACUAUACUUUAGUGUUCCAUCUAUAACAUUAAAUGUUUCAUUUAAAAAUGGCUCUAAAUUUUGAGCUUUUUCAUAGUAUUCAUGAAUGCUAUAAUAUAGUCCAUCCAUUCAUACAAAAUAUAUAAAAGAGUGCUUAGAGUUUAAGGGCAAAUGUAAAAAUUAUUAUUAAUUACAUAACAUAACUUAUUGGGAAUCUAAAGCCAAGCACAGUAACUAAACUUUUAAUUAUAUAUGUCCAGCAAACUAAACUUGAUUACGCAUAACGUAGUUUACUAAAGCUCCUUGGUUUGCUAACCACCUUGCUGAUGUCUAAUAUUGCUGUGCAUCACCUGGAGUUAAGGAAAGAGGGUGAGCUUUGGAAGCUUAGUGAACUAACAUUUUAAUAGACAAACAAUUCACAUAAUAUAGAUUUGUCAUUAGCGAUUUCCCAUAAUCAAAUGCCCGGCUCUUACAGAUGCUCAUCGGGACUUCCUCUUUUUGUAUAAUAUAUACCAAUAUGCUCGUCAAAUAAAGGAGCUCCUCAGGAUUUCCUAACAUAAGCAGUGCCCUAAGGGUUUGUUAGGCAUCACCUGGUCUUACUAACAUUAUAUUAUGCAUGAUUAUAUCAUAUCCAUAUACAUUAUUGGGAAAUCAAUGGGCCAUUCAACAUUUAUCUAGUAUCAACAGGGAAUUAUGCAUUAAUGGCAAUGCAACAUAUUCGUUUUCUAAAUACAUGUACCAUAAUAAUUAACAUGAAAUGAUGCAUGUGGAUGCACAUAAUUUAAAUUGCAGUUAAAAAAAGUCAUUGUUAUUUAUUAGGUUCGGUUUUUCUCACCUUUUGAAGCCUAUCACACACCAAACACGUACUCUAGUUUCUUUCCUAGCUACGGUUCUCCGGGUUCCUCAAGUUUGAUUCUAUGAAAGAUGGACACUCAAAUCCAUAAAAUCCUUGAGACACAGUAGCAGCUUUGGUAGCCAAAUGUGGGGUUUUCGGCUGCCGAACCUGGGAAAGGUUGUAGCUACUCAAAAGACCAAAAUUUAAACUUUUCAUUACUCAAGCUCCAAAAACACAUUCUCACACAACAAGCACAAUUAUAUCCAAUAAAAAAAAACCUAAGAUACUUGAGAUUACAACAUGUAUUAAUCUAGUACCAAUUUUGCUCAAAAACAAGGAAAGAAUUAAUGAAAUGAAAAUCCAUUUUUCUCCAAAAUCUUGAAAUCUCUAAAAGCCCAACAUGCAGUAAGGAUAGACACAUUCAGUCCCCAUUUUCAAUUCACAAAAUCUCAAGGAAAUAAAGGAAUCAACUUGCAUUUACUAUAUCUUUAAAAUUCACAAAAGUUGCUCAACUUCUAUCAACAUCCACCCUAAAAGGAAAAUCAUCCUUGAAGAUCAACAAUCCCAAAUCAAGCUUAGGAUCUAUUUGAUAACAGCCUCACAACCUAAAAGAACUUGGAAAUUGCUACGUGCAUUCAGAUUAAAGAAACUAAUUUUAGAUUGGAAACAUUUCUUCACUUUAGUUAGAAAUCCAUUUGACCCAUUCUCUACCUAGAGUAAAAGCCAUACUUUUCACUUUAGUCAAACUACAAUAUCAACUAUCAAGGGAAAAUUGAUUUUAAAAUACACAUGCAAGAGAAAAUACUUACCUCUUUGAAGCUUUGACUCCUGCACACUAAUAAAAUGAACUUCCCCUUUGUAGAAUUCUAACUCCCACCUAAACUCUAGCACCAAGGUCAUAUAAACUUGUCAAAAUUAACCCAAAAGAGAAGGCAUGGAAGGGAGCUGAAAUUAUAGGGUUAACUGAAACAUAUAAAAUGAGAGAAUUCCUUUUCUAUUUUCAUUUGUUUUGGCCCUUUAUAUACUCGUGGGGCAAGAGGGACUUCGGCAGCCGAAAGAGACUUCUUUUCUUUAACCCUAAAACUUCGACUCUAACCUACUAACCCUUUAUUAUUAUACUCAAGACACUACCAACACUCUUAUUACUACACCUUUCACCUCUGAAACCAUAGUUUGAACUGAAAUUCCCAAACACGAUAGGAAUUUCGACAACAAGAACUUGGUGGAUAUUACACUUGUGCCUUAUAAUUGGUUGAUGUGUGGAACAACACACCUCCCUCACGCAUAGGCAUGAAUAUCUGGAGCAUGAAGUUUGUAGGACUGAACAACAGUGGAGGCCCAAUAUCGAGACAAGGGUUGGCUCGGAUACCAUGUGGAGAAAGAUAGAUCAGGUGUAGCUCACUUCUAGAAGCUAGCUCAAGGGGGAGAAGUGCUGAAGGCUUUAUAUUUAGCAUUCUUAUCUUAUACUUGGAUAAUGUGGGACAACAACAAUUAUAAUAACAAUAAAGUGGAGACUAAUAGGAGUAGAACAAAAUGCUUUUGUAUGAUGCUCAAUCUAUUUGGUCUCCUGUUGUAAAUGUUGCAUGCAACAAAUAUUUCCCUGUAGCCAACAAAAUGCAAAGUUGCUAUCAAUUUUUUACUGUUUAAGGCUUGAACAGAAUUGCGAUAGGAUUUAUGCCUGCACCUUUCUUUUCCCGAAAUCUAAUAUAUUAGCCAUAAAGCGUUGGUUCUCAUGGAAGUUUUGCCUACUUCAAAGCCUUUCCUUUGGAUGAUUACAAUAUCAAAAUUUUUCACCAUUUGUUUCUCUAAGGUCAUCGAGUGCCCAAUAUUUGGCUGUAUCUUCUCAAGAUGGUUACUGUACUUUGGUAGAAUUUGAAACCAAUGAACUGGGAUUGCCCAUUCCUUCAGCAGAGCACAAGAAAGAUCUGUUUCCGGAGAAUAAAAGCCCUAUUAUUGAGAAACGAGAGGACAUAAUGAUUGAAACACCUGUAAAUGAUGGUUCUAUCGCAGAAAAUAGCAAAAAAACAAAGCCAGAGAAGAAUGAAGGGGAACAGGCUUCACCAAGCUCAAUUAGCACUCCCAUCUCAAAUAAGCCGGCCAAGAGACGAAUUACUCCCAUGGCAAUUGAUCCAAAAUAAUUAUCAGAAUUUUGGACAGCUUCACAUCAAAUUUUCUGGAGUGCUUCAAGUCAGCCCAAGAUCCUUUUUUUACUAACCAUUUCUAAAUGAAAUGUGCUUGUACAGCAGCCAAAUUUUUGUGCUUGUACCACUAAAGCUUCAUAUAACCAAUAUCCCAAACACCAUAUGACCCAUUGGAUGAUUUCGGUGGGAUAAUUGCAGACAGGCUUCCUUCCACAUAGGCAGGUUGAUUUUCUGAUGCCAAGCAAUUUGAUAGAUUAGCACAAGUCAGCUUAGUGGUACUUGUAACUCAUGAAAGGUGGCAUCUUAACAUGUCAUAAUGUCAGUCCAUAUAUAGAAAGAAGUGAUUCCUAUAAGCUUUUGGUUCAUAG